CCUGGAAAUGGCCCUUGAGGGGAAAAAUAAUGAAUGCAGGAAGCAAGACUAAAAACGUGUACAAUUACAUGAUUUAAAAGAUUUUGCAAGAAAACCCACCAUGGUAUCAAGCCGAUUAUCAGAAGACCAGCAAGUACAACGCUUUCCCGGGAACGUUUUGGUAAUAGGACUUUCAAACUAGCAACUUGAGUCAAAGUAAGAAACAUGCUUUGGCUCUGAGGACCCAUCAGCUAAUAUUAACACGGGAAAGAGAAAGAACAGGUUGACAGGAAGCCCCAGCUCUCCCCUGAUUCCAUUCAGGAGAUCAUUAAGGAAGGAGUCUUGCUGUAAAGUACACCUUUUUUCCUCCGAUGACAGUGACAACCAGGGCGACUUGAGUCAGGGGCCAACCAGCUCUCCUUUGACAAACAAACACCCACUCUGAAUGAAGAAUACAAAGAAAAGGAGACAUGGAUUUGAUGCAGACUUCCCUCUCUCGUAAAUGUUCCCUUUUCAACAGGGAAACCACAUUUGCCUAUACUGUGGAUGGAGAGCUGUUAAUCAACCUUUCCCAAUGAAGAGAAACUACAACUCACUCAAAUGUGGAAGGUGAAGAGAUGUUCUCAGAAUGUACACUGUUCUGAAACCUUCCUGAGAAAGGAUUAUUUCAAGACUUAUUGCAAUUAAAAGUGAAAUGAAUCAAGACAAUAGGCUCAAUAACUAAGAGAAGAUACUAUAAAUAUAAAAGGGAAAAGAAGAGAAAGAUGUGUAAUCCUCAGGAACUGUAGCAUUGGAGGGUUUUUCAAACAUGCAUAGCUAAAUACAGUUAAAGAAUAUAAUUGGCAUGUCAAAAGUAAUUCUUGUAAGGGUAGAUUCAUCAACAAAGAAAUCAUCAUGAAUGUAGGUUUCAGAUCUGACUUUACUGAAAGUACAGAGGAGGAAGAAGAAAAAUAAAAGGAAGAGGGAAUAAUCA
rnacentral:lncRNA from 1 species